rnacentral:piRNA from 1 species
UUCAGGAAAGGGCCUAACAUUUUGCUCCCUGA